ensembl:lncRNA
AUUCUGGGGAAGGUAGGCAGAAAAGCACCGGAAAGAGUCACCAUGUAAACAGCAAAGAAGUAGCAGGUCCAGGCAUUCUCCGAAAGCGAUGUGAUACUCGGAUUUCUUCAACCUAGCACCAGUCCAGACGGAUGAAAAGAACACCAAGAGAAAUAGGGGACCAGGCCGACUCCUUCAAAUCUCGUAAGAAGACAGAACAACAGAGUAGAACAAUAAGGAGACGGUGAGAGUUACCAACCACGACUCAGGUGUCAGGAUGCCACAGCAGACAGAUUUGGCAUGGAUCAAGUAAGAAAUGAGUGACAGCGUUAGUGGACUCAGGAGAGCACUGUUGUCCGCGAUAAGACUUUGUCCGUUUCCUAGUCAUGAAAGCAGCCAUUGAGACAUUCUUAUAGUAACAUCUAGACAAAGGAUCUGAAAGCCCAGAGGAAACAGAAAUGUGCACGUAUCCUUUCCCUCCACUUUCAUCUCAGGACACAAGCCGGGGAGUGAAAAGGCUGCAGGUAUUCACCAUUGUCCCCAGGCGAGGUCACAGAAGGAUGAGUCAGAGUGGCUUCUGUUACCCAGACAGGAAAGCGCGUGAGAGCCAACAGCCACCCAGCCCUGCUCAGCAGAGAGUCUUACUCCCAGGGAAAUGUGGGACCAGGCUGCAAAGUUGGGAAGGGCUGGCAGCAUGCUCUGACCCUGAACUUCACAGGGACAGAGUCUCCUAAUUAGCUGUAGCAAUAACCGAGAACUCCAGGCAAGCAGGUGAAGCCAUUGUGGACUAGAGAAUUCCCUUGUUUAGAAGCCGCAGACCCACCAGCUUGCUGUCUGUACCUGCAGUAAAAAGCAGAAACACUGUGGUCAAGAUGUCGCUUGCUUUCCCCUUCCCACAGUCCUGGGAAAAACCAGGACCCUGGGAGGUUUAUUUAAGCAAUACCUCUUUAAUUCCUUGAUCAGCAUCUAUUGCUCAUUUUCCUGGUCACUGCAACUCAAUUUUCUUUUCCUACCCUUUGUGGGACUGUCACAUUGAAAGAUCUUCAUUUCCUUGACCAGGCAGAAGGCACUGAGGUCAAAUAGAGCCAAUCAGAGAUCCCUUUUCUGGGGACAGAACAGAUCCCCUCCUAAUCAUCAAGGCUCUUCUUCAGCCCUUGUGGAGUAAAAUAUUCCAGUUCCUUCCAAAUGAGAAUUUCUGCAGCAUCCCCCACCUAAAAGUUCCCAGGCGUCCUUCUGAUAAAGCUUUCUUUAUUUAUGGAAAGCAGAGUCCUGCUUCUGUUGCUUGUAGCAGAAAAACCCAAAUUUACUAUUAAUCAUCCAGGGCAAAUGAAUAUGCAAAAAUCAAUGGGAAUAAUUAGCAUUGAUUUGACUGUUGCUAGUAAUUACUGGCAUGCCUGUUAUCCUCUUGUUCUUAUAGCAACCCAGCUACUCAGGGGGUUUCACUGACUUACCUGAGCCUAACCUAACCAGGUGCAUACGUUCAAAUGAGUUUUCACCUAAAUCUCCAGGCUCUUGGAUCAGAGCUCUUCUUCCUGUAAUAUCACCUCUCCUACUGAGUCUCUCUCUCUCUCUCUCUCUCUCUCUCUCUCUCUCUCUCUCUCUCUCUCUGCAAGUGAAACUACAGAACAGGAGGCAGGGCUUAUCCACCUGCCUUACAACUUCUCUGAAGGCAGAAAGAAAAGGGUUUUUUUUUUCUAUCUGUAUUUUUCUGGGUCAGAACCCAACUAGAAGUCUAAGCAUAAGGUUUCUUGCAAGUUCUUCUUCUCCUAAGACGUUGCAGCAUGAGCAAUUGAGCAAAGGAAACCAUCUACAUCUACUCGACACUACGGAUAACUACUCUAGGUUCUGAGAUACUGCAAGAACAAAGCAGACAUGGCUUCAACCUUUAUGAAACUUAUAUACCAGCGAAGAAGGUCUGCUAUAGGUAGAUGAAUGAAUAUUAGAAGACAACCAGGCAGUGACAAAGGCCAUGACAGCAAAGCAGAAUAAAGGUCUGGAGGUCAGCUGGGAGGAGCAUGUUAGACAGGCAGGGAAAGCACAUCUUAGCAAACUGGAAUGAGGUAGAGAGCAUACUGGGAAGAGUUUAAAGACUGGACACACUAUAGGGACUUCAAGUAUACCCAAGGAACAACCAGAGGCCAGAGCUGGCUGAGGAAUGCUGUGGCCACCAAGAAAAGGAUGCAACUCAAAAGAGCCACAGGAAGGACUUCAUGUUUGGUCCCAAGUAUGAUGGAAGAGCUGUGAGAGAAAGGGAGGAGAGGGCAAUGGCAUUUCCUCGUUUUGGAAGUCGUUCUCACUGCUGGAAGUGACCCAAAUGCCCAACAAACAAUGAUCGAAAAAACAAACGCAGUAUGUUCAUACAAUGGAACAUACUGACUUAAAAAAAAAAAAACAAACUACAAUACAAUAAAGCUACAUCCAUUAAAACAGAGUGGCACUGCCUGCCAUACAGAUGUACAUAUAUCCUAAUAAACCUGAUCUGUGGCCAACAGCAGGGAAAAGAGGUCCUCUCAUUAAAGAAGAUCAUGAAAUGAGCAUUCCAGGAGCCCACAUGAUGGAAGUGAAGUACCAAUUCCCACAAGUUGUGUGUGUGACUUCCACGUGUGUGCCGUGGCAUGCACAUACCUACAUACAGGCAUACACACACACACACACACACACACACACACACACACACACACACACAGAGCGAGUGCCAGGAUAGGAUCCAAAGCUACACAGAGAAACCCUGUCUCUAAAAACAAACAAACAAACAAAAAAACAAAAACAAAAAAAUAAUUUUUUAACAAGAAGAAUGUGUAAAAAUUGGAAACCCUAUGUAUUGUAGGAGGGGUGUAAAAUUAUGCAGGGCAAUGAAAAACAGUACGCUGAUUUAUCAGCAGAUUAUUUUUUAAAAAUUACCCAGGCACGCAAUGGUUCUCCUUCUGAUCUACACAAAAUUGAAAGCACCAUCCUUAAGAGAUUCACAUGUCCUGAUGACAACAGCACGACUCACAAUGGCCAAAUGGAAGGAGUGCCCAAUUGCUCAUCAACAGAAGGCUUGGUAAACAAUAUGUGGCUGCAAAGUUAGGUAUUAUUCGGUUUUCAAAAUAAAUUCUGAGAUAUGUUGCAACAUGGGGAAAACUAGAUGACAUCAUGCUAAGAGGCAGAGAUCAGUCACUAAAGACAGCUAUGUGGUUGUACUUCUGUGAGAUGCUGACAGUCCUCAACCUCAUAGAAACGAAAGCAGAGGGUGGUUUUCAGGGCUGCAGGGUAGCUCAUGGGGUGCAAAGUUUCUGUUCUGUAAGGCAGAGUUUCUGUUCUGGCGGCAGAGGGGGCAUCAUUUGCACGAGUCUGAAUUCUCUUAAUGUCACAAUUAUAUACCGAAUAUGGAAAGUUUCAUGUUAUGGGUAUCUCCCCACAAUAAAAUCUUGAUAAAGAAGUGAUAUAUAAUAAUUGCCACAGUAAGGAUGAGCCUCUAAAGCAUUCUGUUAAGCAAAUAAAAAAGCAAGACACACAUGAAAAUAUUUUUACUUUACUUGCAUGAUAUAAUCAGAAUAGGAAAACCCAUAGAGACAGAAAGUAACUAGCUCCAUGGUGCCUGGGCUGGGAGGAGGGAUAAGAGAGGAAUAACUACCUAGCGUUUGUGAGGCUUCCUUCAGGAACAGUGAAAGAGUUCUUAAGAACCAGUGAUGAUUUCACAGUACUGGACUUGUCCUAAAUAUCACUGAUUGUCCACUUUGAAACUGUUAUACUUGUAGAGCUUAUGUUUACAAGGCCCAAAUACUAAAGACAAAUACACUAUUUCAUAAAACCAGAAGAUUCCUCCAGGUGGUGCAUGCAGAGAGGGGAUAGAGAAUCAACACAAGGCCCAUCUU